ACGGCUCAGUAACACGUAGCUAACCUACCCUCCGGACGGGGAUACCCCGGAAACUGGGGCUAAUACCGAUAGGUGUGGAUCCUGGAAUGGUACCAUGCCUAAACGUAAGCACAUCCAUGUUUGUGUGCACGCCCGAGGAUGGGGCUGCGGCCGAUCAGGCAGUUGGUGAGGUAACGGCUCACCAAACCUUUGACCGGUACGGGCCAUGAGAGUGGUAGCCCGGAGAUGGGCACUGAGACAAGGGCCCAGGCCCUACGGGGCGCAGCAGGCGCGAAACCUCCACAAUUCACGAAAGUGAGAUGGGGUUACCUCGAGUGCCGUCUGAAGAAGGCGGCUUUUCCAUGGUGUAACAAGCCGUGGGAAUAAGGGGGGGGCAAGGCUGGUGUCAGCCGCCGCGGUAACACCAGCCCCCCGAGUGGUGGGGAUGAUUAUUUGGCCUAAAGCGUCCGUAGCCGGCUUUGUAAAUCUCUCGUUAAAUCCAGCGUCCUAAGCGUUGGGCUGCGAGAGACACUGCAGAGCUAGAGGGUGGGAGAGGUCAGCGGUAUUCCUGGGGUAGGGGCGAAAUCCAUUGAUCCCAGGAGGACCACCAGUGGCGAAGGCUGCUGUCCAGAACACGCCUGACGGUCAGGGACGAAAGCUGGGGUAGCGAAUCGGAUUAGAUACCCGAGUAGUCCCAGCCGUAAACGAUGCAGGCUAGGUGUUGGGUCGGCCACGCGCCGCCUCAGUGCCACAGGGAAGCCAUUAAGCCUGCCGCCUGGGGAGUACGGCCGCAAGGCUGAAACUUAAAGGAAUUGGCGGGGGAGCACCACCAGGCGUGAAGCCUGCGGUUUAAUUGGAGUCAACGCCGGG
rnacentral:rRNA from 1 species